AUUGAACGCUGGCGGCAGGCCUAACACAUGCAAGUCGAACGAGUGGCGGACGGGUGAGUAAUGUUUGGGAAUCUGGCUUCUGGAGGGGGAUAACGACGGGAAACUGUCGCUAAUACCGCAUAACAUAGGAUGUGCCCAAGGGGGAUUAGGUAGUAGGUGGGGUAAUGGCCUACCAAGGCGACGAGUCCUAGCUGGUCUAAGAGGAUGACCAGCCACACCGGGACUGAGACACGGCCCGGACUCCUACGGGAGGGAGCAGUGGGGAAUAUUGCGCCAGUGGGGAAACCCGAUGCAGCCAGGCCGCGUGAAUGAAGAAGGCCUUCGGGUUGUAAAGUUCUUUCGGUGAGGAGGCGUUAACCACAGAAGAAGCACCGGCUAACUCCGUGCCAGCAGCCGCGGUAAUUC
rnacentral:rRNA from 1 species